GGCGGUUCUCAGGUGAUGCACCCCAGAAUUGGGCUCCCUCCUCUCUGGUUCCGGGUGCAUCAAUGGAGAACCACA
rfam:Myotis lucifugus cont2.62897, whole genome shotgun sequence.